rnacentral:tRNA from 1 species
GAGAUUGCAGGGAUAAGAUGACUUCUAAUCAAUCUUAUAAAUGGUUCAAUUCCAUUUAAAUCUCU